CGGACUGAGAAAAGCCAGCACUCCUUCUUAGAGAGUGGUGACCCGGCCAGCUCUUAUUUUCCUGACUAUUCCUCCCAUGUUUCCAAAAUAUGAUGCAACCUGAGACAUGGGUUUUGGAUGUUUGAGAAGCAAAGAAGCAUGAAAUGGAGCAGGACUUAAAGCGUACUUUUGCUUGAAGACCAAGGAGCUCAGUCUUUUACAGGUUCUAACAGGUAUAUGCCCAAGAGGAAAGGAAAUAUGUGUUCAUGAAAAGACUGGUACAGAAGGUUCAUAGAAGAUUUGUUUGUAAUAGCCAAAAACUGGAAACAGCCCCAAGUGGCCAUCAAUGGUGACUUGGUCUGCUAGAGACAAGUGAUGCUGCCUCACAUCUACUCCUCAUUGACUGGAGAGGAAACCAUUAUAUCCUUAACAGCUCUGUAAAGUCUCUUUGUUGUCAAUGUCUUUAUUUGAAUCUUAGAUCGAAUGUUAGCUUUAAAUGUCAGAGUUUGGGGUAAGCGAAGCAUCUGUAAGACGCCUCUUUGCACGUGUGUGUAUCUUCCAGGGUGUCCUACCCUUGAUUCUACAAGAUUACCCUAAUCUCAAAUGGGAAGUGAUGGGAUCAGUAGGAUGAGGGCACAGACAUCACUUCAGAACUCCAAGUCACAAUCAGGUCGUUGGUCCUAAACCAGGGGUGCCCCAGAACAAACAGGUAUUGCAAGAAAGAAGUGAACAUAAAUGUCAGUGGCUUAAUAUGUUUCCCCAAUGGAAAAUUCAGGAGAUAGGUGGCAUGUGAAGGGAUAAAAUGAACAUCAGAGUCAAAUGAACAUCAUUUAUAGCCCAGCUGUGUCCCUGCUCCUGUCUUUAAUCAAUGAAAAUGAAUGAUGACUCCAGACCCAUUGGUGAGUAACUGAUUCUCACGGCUUCUGGUCAACCAAAAGAUCCAUGGUAUGCUAGAAAUAGGGCUGGAGGUAGGGGAAAUGUGCCCAUAUGCCUCCCUAGUUGUCUGGGAGCUUAUUCAUUUUCUAAGGAGUAUAAGGGAAUGGUUGAACUCUAGUACAAAAUGACUGCUGACAUUAAGAAACGAAGAUUGUUCUGAGUGAGCAUGGUCUGAAAACUGAGCCCUUAACAGACUGAACUCAUCCUGAAGAGGGAGCUUCACUGUGAGGGAGAUGCUCUGUUACUGACUUUGAACGUGGAGAGGGCCGCAUGGCAGGGAUCCGAGAGGGGCCUCUAGGAGCUGAGAGUGACUCCUGGCUGACAGCUGGCCUGAAGACAGGACUUAAUUCAUACAAGGAAAUGAAUUCUGCCUAUAGCCAGCAAGCUUGGAAGAGGAUCCCAAUCCUCAGAUGAGAACUGCAAACCCAGCUUGUGACUUCAGUCUUGUGAGACCUUAAGGAGAGAGCCGAUAUGAGCCCACCUACACUUCUGACAUAGAAAAUUGAGAUAAUAAAUGGCUUUUAAGUUGCUAAGUUUGUACUAACAUGUUAUGGCAGUGGUAGAAAACUGGUACAAUAUCUUUUUCUCACUUAAGUUUUACACUCUACAUCUUAAGCAUUUUUUUUUACAUAACUGGAAUGCUUAGUAAUCAAUAUACCAUUCACAUAUUAGUUCUUGAUUUUUCAUAUAACUUGUGGCUGUAUGUAUGAUGAUU